rnacentral:lncRNA from 1 species
UUUCCCUGAUAGUUCAAGGGAGCUGAAGAUGAUCGAGUUUGAGCAGUUAAGGCAGACAGAAGAGAUGAGUGUAGAUGAGUUCACAGACAGAUUCUUGGAGCUGUUACCAUUUGCAGGGCAAAAUCUUGACUCAGACCAGAAGAAGUCAAGGAGGUAUAUCAUGAAACUCCAUUCCAGGUAUUCCUCCUUGAUCCAGUCAGCAGAUAGGGAGAGCUUCCAUGCCAUAGUGGAUAUGGCCUGAAAAAUGGAGGCCAGUGCCAUCAUUCAGGGGACAGUCAAACAGUCAGUGGCACAGUCUUCUAGUUCCAAGACCCCGGGUGGGGGAAGGCUAGAUCCCUCAUCCUUGAGUGCAGCAGCUUCGGGCAGCAGAAAGUGGGGUAACACCACUAGGAAGCCCAAGAAGAAUAAGUUCUGGAAUAAGAUCAAG